UACAGAGGUCUCAAGCGUUGUUCGGAUUCAUUGGGCGUAAAGGGUGCGUAGGCGGCGCGGUAAGUCGGGUGUGAAAUCUCGGGGCUUAACUCCGAAACUGCAUUCGAUACUGCCGUGCUUGAGGACUGGAGAGGAGACUGGAAUUUACGGUGUAGCGGUGAAAUGCAUUGAGAUCGGAAAGAACACCAACGGCGAAAGCACUCUGCUGGGCCGACACUGACACUGAGAGACGAAAGCUAGGGGAGCAAAUGGG
rnacentral:rRNA from 1 species